rnacentral:rRNA from 1 species
UGUAAGCGUAUACCAAAGUUGUUGCAGUUAAAACGCUUGUAGUCGGAAUUUGGCAGUUCCGGAUGUGUGCACGUCGUGUGCGCACUUCGCGGGGAUUGCUUUUGUGGUCUUGCGUAGGAUGAGGCACUUUUAUUAGUGAACGUCCUCACGCAACCACUUUUUACUGUGAGAAAAUCAGAGUGCUCAAAGCAGGCAUUUGCCGUGAAUGUAUUAGCAUGGAAUAAUAGAAUAGGACUUGGUUCUAUUUUGUUGGUUUGUUGGGACUGAGUAAUGAUUAAGAGGGACAGUUGGGGGCAUUUGUAUUUCGGUGCUAGAGGUGAAAUUCUUAGAUUACCGAAAGACAAACUGCUGCGAAAGCGUCUGCCAAGGAUGUUUUCAUUGA